GACGAACGCUGGCGGCGUGCUUAACACAUGCAAGUCGAACGGAAAGGCCCUGCUUUUGUGGGGUGCUCGAGUGGCAAACGGGGGAGUAACACGUGAGUAACCUGCCCUUGCCUUUGGGAUAACUUCAGGAACCUGGGGCUAAUACCGGAUAGGAGCUCCUGCUGCAUGGUGGGGGUUGGAAAGUUUCGGCGGUUGGGGAUGGACUCGCGGCUUAUCAGCUUGUUGGUGGGGUAGUGGCUUACCAAGGCUUUGACGGGUAGCCGGCCUGAGAGGGUGACCGGCCACAUUGGGACUGAGAUACGGCCCAGACUCCUACGGGAGGCAGCAGUGGGGAAUAUUGCACAAUGGGCGGAAGCCUGAUGCAGCAACGCCGCGUGCGGGAUGACGGCCUUCGGGUUGUAAACCGCUUUCGCCUGUGACGAAGCGUGAGUGACGGUAAUGGGUAAAGAAGCACCGGCUAACUACGUG
rnacentral:rRNA from 1 species